AUGCUGCAGUCCCCAGCUCGGCCAGGAGGAGGUGCUGCUCUGCUGUUGGGUGCUCCGUCUCUCCUUCCCCAGCGGCUCACACUCACACCGCUCACACACAUCUUCCUACUGGUGGCGGGCCGCUCCCGAGACACGCUCCUCCGCCUCCGCUCUUUAGGAGCUCCUCCCACCUUCCUUCUGUGGGGGUUUUCCCUGGGAACGUGGUCUUUAGGGACGAGACUGUCCCUGGGAACGUGGUCUUUAGGGACGAGACUGUCCUUGGGAACGUGCUCUUUAGGGACGAGACUGUCCCUGGGAACGUGGUCUUUAGGGACGAGACUGUCCCUGGGAACGUGGUCUAUAGGGCCGAGACUGUCCUUGGGAACGUGCUCUAUAGGGACGAGACUGUCCAUGGGAACGUGGUCUUUAGGGACGAGACUGUCCUUGGGAACGUGCUCUAUAGGGACGAGACUGUCCAUGGGAACGUGGUCUUUAGGGACGAGACUGUCCUUGGGAACCUGCUCUAUAGGGCCGAGACUGUCCCUGGGAACGUGCUCUUUAGGGACGAGACUGUCCCUGGGAACGUGGUCUUUAGGGACGAGACUGUCCCUGGGAACGUGGUCUUUAGGGACGAGACUGUCCCUGGGAACGUGCUCUUUAGGGACGAGACUGUCCCUGGGAACGUGCUCUAUAGGGACGAGACUGUCCCUGGGAACGUGCUCUUUAGGGACGAGACUGUCCCUGGGAACGUGCUCUAUAGGGACGAGACUGUCCCUGGGAACGUGGUCUAUAGGGACGAGACUGUCCCUGGGAACGUGCUCUUUAGGGACGAGACUGUCCCUGGGAACGUGCUCUUUAGGGACGAGACUGUCCCUGGGAACGUGGUCUUUAGGGACGAGACUGUCCCGCCCGUUGUCGUGUGACCGUGUCUGGUCGAUGCAGGGUGAACAUGUGGUGUCAUCGUGCAGUUUGUGUCUCUCUAGCCGUACGGCACAGCACCGUGUCAGACACCUCUCCUUCACGACCUCAGCCAGCCAAUCCUGUCCCACCAUCGCUGACACAAAAUGGCUGCCGUCCUCAGUUUCCUCCCCGGCCCUGUCUGGGUCAGUCUGCUCACAGGCAACCGCGGAGAACAGCUCCGGGCUCGGCUGCUCACCAACGCCAUCUUGGAUCGCUGAGCCUCCAUUCCGGCUCCUGUUACUCCUCAGACUGGUUGAUCCACGGGGAGUCGGCUCUUCACGGGUUCCUACCUCUGGUUGUCCCACUGCCUGGCCCAGGGACCACAGCUGGCGCAGCUCUGUGAGAGAGAGGGGGUCCUCUGGAACAUUGAGCUCCUCCUGGGUGGUGCUCAGAGAGAUGGGUGGACGGAGGGAGGAGGGAGGAGGAGGGAGGGCACGUGAGCUGGGGGUGGAGGAGAAGAGAGGUUUCCUGUGGCAGGAGCGCUCGGGCGACUCGUUCAGAGAGAUAUCUCGCAGGAAACCGUUACUGUUGGUUACUCCGCUGUUACCCAGGUCGGCCAAUGAGCUGUCAGCGUUGGCCAGGGCCCGGCGGCGCCCCUGUUUGGCACGGCGAGGGAAGGAACGCUGGACCCCUCCCCCUUCUUCUCUUCCACCCUGGACGAAGUCAUCAGAGGAGUUGAGGCUGAGCUGGGCUAGCAGGACCUGA
rnacentral:lncRNA from 1 species